rnacentral:rRNA from 1 species
CCUACGGGGUGCACCAGUGGAGAAUAUUGCACAAUGGGCGCAAGCCUGAUGCAGCCAUGCCGCGUGUAUGGAGAAGGCCUUCGGGCUGUAAAGUACUUUCAGCGGGGAGGAAGGUGUUGUGGUUAAUAACCACAGCAAUUGACGUUACCCGCAGAAGAAGCACCGGCUAACUCCGUGCCAGCAGCCGCGGUAAUACGGAGGGUGCAAGCGUUAAUCGGAAUUACUGGGCGUAAAGCGCACGCAGGCGGUCUGUCAAGUCGGAUGUGAAAUCCCCGGGCUCAACCUGGGAACUGCAUUCGAAACUGGCAGGCUAGAGUCUUGUAGAGGGGGGUAGAAUUCCAGGUGUAGCGGUGAAAUGCGUAGAGAUCUGGAGGAAUACCGGUGGCGAAGGCGGCCCCCUGGACAAAGACUGAAGCUCAGGUGCGAAAGCGUGGGGAGCAAAAAGGAUUAGAUACCCUAGUAGUC